rnacentral:lncRNA from 12 species
ACAAACAUCGUCGGAUCUCAGGGGGGGGGGGGGGGGAGGCAGAAUCACAUACUUUUUUCUGCACACCCAAAAAAAGCUGCAGAGCACAGGCUUGAAGUCCAAGGCAACCUGAGAACGCUUGCUGAAGUUUUCCUUCCCCGCUGUGGGCUAUGCAAAGCUCCUGGGGGAAAUUCUGGCAAAACAGAUUUUUGCCAAAAAAAUAAAAACGAGAAGGGUGUAAGGGAGCUAAUAUUUCUUUGGACACUAAGUACACAACUGCACGGCCUGAACAUCUGCCAGCUUUCAUUUCAACUUCAAAAUAUACUUAUUUUGACAGCUUUCCAUUUAUUCAUCCCCUUAAAGAAAACGCCCUCCGCACGAGGCUAUGCUGUCCCGGGACUCGAGGUGCUGCUCCCAGCCCUGUGGGUCUCACGCGGGGGCCCCCCGCGGUCCAUACCUGACAGCGCCCGGCCCUCCUGGAGGACAGGCUGGUGGUCUCCCCUGCCCCGGGCCGGGCCUGCACGCCGCAAGCACCUCCGGGAACCCAAAUGCUGCAGGCCGCGCCCCCAACUCGCAUCCCACCGAGGCCCCCUUCUGGCGCCGCCGAGCCCCGGCUCAGUCUCGGGCUCCCCGACCAGACGCUUCAGGGACCGCGCUCGGGUCCCUUCCCGCAGCCGGGCUGCCGGGCCCCGGCGCGCGCACAACAGGCGGCACGGCGCCCAGGAACGCAGGCGCCCCGUCAAAGGCGCGGCCGCCGGGGCGCACCCGCCAGGAGCCCCCGGGACAGGGCGCGGAGGACCACGGGGAGCCGAGCGCGGCCCCGUGAGCCCGGGGCGCAGCCCGCAGCCCCCGCCGGCCUCCCGCCCUCGCUGCACUGGAGGCCACGGAGCUCCCCGCCUCCCGCGCCGCGGGGCUCGGCUGCCCCCGGGCCCGUCCUCCCGUCCCGCCGUGGGCGAGCUCCGCCGCUGGAGGCUGGAGGGGCGACCUUCCAGCCCGGUGCGCGACGCCCAGCGCCGAGAAAGCACGAAGGCGGCGAAGAAAGACGCAGGGAAGGGGGCACUGCUUUGGCUGGGGCUCUCGGCUCCCAGAAACCCUCCCCAGGUCCCGUCCGGCCGCCGCCGCCGCCGCCGCCGCCGCCGCCCGGCCGGCAGGGGGCACAGUGGGCAGCCGGGGCGCGGUGGCCGGGCCGGGGGGCGGGAUGGGAGCCCCCCCAGGCGCCGAGUUCCCGCUAGUACCUCGCAGAAAGCCCGGAGCGCCAGGCGUCCGACUCCCGCCAGCUCUCGCUCCCUUCCUGCCUCCGCCGCGCCAGACCGGCUCUUCUCAGCCCCUCAGCCCCGGGAGCUAGACGAGCGCUUCGCGUCCGCCCCCGCCCCCGCCUCCCGCCCCGCCCGCCCCACCGAGGCCCCGCCCACCGAGGCCCCGCCCACACGGCCGCCCCGAGGUGGCGGGGGUGGCGGCCGAGCUGCGGGAGCGGAGAGCCUAGCCUGCGGCCGCACGUGGAGCCCUGCCGGCCCCGCCCCGGACCCAACCAAGCGUCCCGCGGAGGGGUGCCGGGACUCGGGCGCGGGGGAAGGCGGAGGGGGCCUGAGGCAGGAGCAGAGCUGCGGAAGGGCGCUGUGUGUGUGGACCCCUGCGAUCGGGACCUCUCCCCACGCGACGGAGGCGGGAGGGGACGCUGUCGGCUCCCCCCUUCUGGCCGAAUGGUCCUCCCCGACGCGCGGCCCCCGCUCCCCUGGAACGCGCUCUCCCGAGCCAGUCGGGCUGGGCUGGGCUGGGCGGGGGCGGCUGUUUGGCCUGAGCCUCGUCUUACUAAUUCCGAGCGGCGGGCGGAGCGCAGGCCCCUCACAGAGGCUGCGAUCCCAGCGGAGGAGGCUUCGUGACUCCUCACUUCCCUCCCGUCCUCCUUCCCGCACCCACCGGCCCGCCCACCCCUCGGGACGCCGCGCCCUCGUGGGUUUUACACUGGAUGGAGGGGGCGCGCCUGGAAGCCAAGCCUCCCCCGCUAACUCUCCCUGCGGUUGUAAAGGUAGACACAGCCUCUGUUUGCUGUGGUUUUAG